AUACUUACCUGACGCGAGAGGCACCUUGAUCAACUAGGAGGUCCUCUCAGGAUGGGGCCCUUUCAUUGCACUUCGACUGGGUUGACUCCUGCGAUUACCCCUAAUGUGGGUAACUCGAGCGUAUAAUUUCUGGUAGUGGGGACCUGCGUUCGCGCUCGUCCCCU
rnacentral:snRNA from 1 species